GGUGAGGAAACGGAGACCUCAGAAUAGAACUGGGCUCGAUCCUGAAUACAAGAAGGGAUGGACACUUACAGCCAAAGAGAGAGGGGAUCUGUGGAUGGAAAUUUUGCAGAGGAGAUGCCACGGGCCAGCAGAGCUGCUACUGAAGCCCAAGACUGAGGCCUAAUUGAGAAGAGUGCUUGGAGGAGUUUGACUGAAGUUUGGUCAGAGAGAACACCUUUGUCACUAUCUUCCUGGAUCCCAUGGCAAUGAAAGCAAACAUUCUAAUGAAGACAGACAGUAAACAAGAAAAGAAUACAUAAACAAGAUAAUCUCAGAUUGUGAAAGAAAUGAGAAAGACGUUUGCUGAGUGGAAAUUGAAGCACCUUAAUAAAAAAAGACUCCACAGAGAUUCCUCACUCCUUCCAUCAUGCGAGAACAUAGUGAAUGGGUGCUAGCUAUGAACCAGGAAGAAGGCUUUCAACAGAACCCAACAGUGCUGCUGUCUUGAUCUUGGACAUCCCAGUCUACAGAAUUAUGAUAAAUAAAUUUUUGCUGUGUAUAAGUUA